rnacentral:misc_RNA from 1 species
UAUUGACGACUACGAUCGUUGUGUGUGUUCCAAAUCGGUUAUCUACAAAACCAAAUGAGUAACUGGAAAGUCAUUGAAAGAAGUAGUGAAACCAAACAAUGGUGAUUCGUUUAUUUAGUGACGAUUUUCGGUUAUGAAUUUUCUUUCGAGGAUAUUAUACAUUCUAAAGGAGACUUUAUUUCUCGAAGAAUACUCCGAUUAAUGGAGGCUUUUGCUCAGUAAAUUUAAUGAGCUUGAGACAUGGAAUGUCGAGAUUCUUAUUUUAUCAAGGUCAUUUUACUACUUAUAGCGAUUCUUCACUUUACACAUCAAGGAACAACACCUCCAGAGUACCAUGCUGUGGUAGGAGGGAAGGGUGAAUUACCUUGCAACAUCAGUGUGCCUUCACCGAAUGACAAAGUGUCUCUUGUACUUUGGUACAAAGGAGACUCAAGAGUACCAAUGUACAGUAUCGACACCAGAAAUAGCCCCUUGGACCAAGCAAAACAUUUUCCUGCAGAUUCACUCUUGUCGAGAGCAGUAUUCGAUAUGAUUGCAGAACCGUCUGUUUUAAGGAUAGAACCAGUUCGUGAAGACGACGAAGGCAUUUAUAGAUGUCGAGUUGAUUUCAGAUGGGGAAGAACUUACAGUUCCACUGUUAUUUUAAAUGUUACAGUGCCUCCGGAAAAAACUAUCAUCACUGAUGACAAAGAUCAGAUGAUGUCUGGUAUCAUAGGGCCGUAUGAUGAAGGUGCAGAUGUACAACUCAAAUGCGAUGGUAUUGGAGGAAAACCAUCCCCUGCUGUUCUAUGGUGGCGAGGUUCGACUAUUCUAGAUGACAGCUACUACGUCAUGGAAGACGGAAUUGUUAGAAAUGAAGUGACGAUUCCAAAUUUCCAACGGAAUGAUUUGAUGACAAUUCUUACAUGUCAAGCUACCAAUAACAAUGUUACUGCUCCCGUAUCAACAUCCGUUACCGUCGACCUUAACUUGAAGCCGUUGGAUGUUCAUAUCACAACAACACAGGCACCUCUCUCAGCGAAUGUCAAAGUGGAGAUAGAAUGUGUAUCAAGUGGUGGAAGGCCUCCCGCUCGCAUCACUUGGCAUAAAGACAACGAAGAAUUGAAAAACGUGACAGAAAAGAUUUCCGCCGAUGGCAACAUCACUACCAGCAUUCUUAAAUUUUGGCCAUCUGGAGAAGAUAAUGGCAGAUAUCUAUCCUGUCGAUCUGAUAAUCCUUUAUUACCAGACAGUGCCUUAGAAGACGGCUGGAUUCUUAACAUCUCUUAUGUACCGCGAGUCACUUUAGAUCGAAGUGGAAGCGACAUCCAGCAUUCUGUACGAGAAGGAAGCGACGUAUAUUUUCAUUGCAAUAUCAAUUCAAAUCCACCAUUUACUAAAAUUGGAUGGCAAUUUGAAGGUCGACCACUGUUUCAUAAUCCACCAGCCGGGGUCAUCAUUAACAAUCAAUCAUUGGUGAUGCAGAAAGUCAGAAGAGCAAAUAAAGGCAGGUUCCGUUGUUAUGCCGUCAAUUCUGAAGGAAUGGGGGAAAGUUCGGAUGUUAGCCUUCUUAUUGAUCAUACUCCGGUUUGUGCACCGGGUCAGAAAAUUGUAUAUGGUGUAGCCAAAGACGAAACAGCUCGUGUAGAAUGCGAAGUUCAAGCAGAGCCUCCAGAAGUAUCAUUCCAUUGGGUUUUCAACAAUUCUUUUGAUAAACAUAACAUUCGAACGUUCAGUAAUGACGGAUUAAAAAGCUUAGCAACUCAUACACCGAGAAGCAUAAAUGACUACGGGACAUUAUAUUGUUACGCUAAAAAUAGCAUUGGAAAACAAACAGAACCUUGCAUUUUUUCGAUAAUACCUGUAGGUCCUCCAGAACCUGUCCGAAACUGCUCUGUUGCUAAUGUCACUAGUGAAUCUCUACUGGUGGAUUGUGACAAGGGUCAUAACGGAGGACUGAAACAAUACUUUUAUAUGGAAGUCUACAAUUCUGCAGCCGAGAGACUAGAGGGCAAUGUCACUAAUCUAGAAGUACCAACGUUUCAUAUCUCCAACCUUCCAUCUGCCACGGCUUUCAUUUUAGUGAUUUAUGCCGCCAAUGCUAAAGGGAGUAGUGACUCGACUACGUUAAGAACCAAAACUCUGGUUGCUUCGCAGAAUAAUUCGGGAAACCUGAAUACGACGGUAGUAAAUCCUUUAUUGGGAGUUUUAAUCUGUGUGGUAGCAGCUUUAGUAAUGGUUCCCGGUAUUGCCAUGGUUAUAAUUAGAAUGCGUGGCACCGAUGAAGAUAAAGGGCAUCCCGAUGAAACUUCGAUGGAAAAAUCCCAUAUGCAUACAGACAAACGUUACACAGCUUGUAUCGUCAAUAUUAAGGGGCUUAGAAGUGACUUUCUUUUGGAGCUAGGGCAGAAACUCUGUUGAAAAAGAAUCCGGAAGACUAUCCAGACAAUGAUGCGAAAGAUCCUGAUCUAAUUCCUCCAAAAUCAAACUAUUUCGACUAUCCGUCCGAAGAAAGAGAAUGGUACUCAUUUAGAAGAAGUAAAGCCACAGACAAAAUCUAUGACAACCACAUACCAGGCUCGCAUCUUUUAUAUGACAGCGGAGGACCAAGUAC